rnacentral:lncRNA from 1 species
AGCAUUCAACAAAGUUGCCUAUUCUAAGGGAGCAUUCCCAAACAUUCAACUCUACACAAUUUCCCUUUCUUUGAUCCCUAUUUUUUUUUCUUUUUCUUUUUACAUCCACACAACCAUGAGCAUUUUCUUUGCUUUUUUCUUUCUUUUCUUUUUUCUUUGCUCUAUGGUUUCAAGGGUGGUUUCUUUUUCUUGUUUCUUUUCAUAUUUUUACCCUUUCAUAAAAACUCACUUUUCCAAGUUUCUAAUCAACUUUUCACUUUACUCUCCCUAACUUUAGAUUCCAAAACCAAAUUUAUUCAAUAAUGCUCCCU